UGGUGAUUUUAAAGACUGAACUCAUUGGUGGGAACCCUCAGCCAUUUCAUUUUGUUUUAAGAAUUUGGAGUCUCCCCAUUCUUCAGUUUGUCUUUGCAAAUCUCAAUUGAUUCCCACUUUUGGAAAUUCAUUCAGUGAUCAUCAUUAUCAUUAUCAUUAUCAUCCAUUUCUUUCUCUGAAGAGUCCCACCUCACACACCAUGGUUUUAGAGGGGUUGAUCCGAGUUUGAUGCUAUGUGCUAAUAAUUUUUCAUCAGGACCGUGAAAUGCCUAAUGGAUGGCCACUUGGACUGGGAAACUUGAACAUGAGACUUCGAGUGACAGAGAGCUUACAUCCUGCUGCAACAGAACCACAUCCUUUACACACACCUUCGUCCAGUUGCUCCUCAUUUUCAUCCUCUAACCUUGAUACAGAGUCUACAGCAUCUUUCUUCCAAGACCAUAGCGUGUCACUGGGCCGGCUAAUUGGAAUUAGGUCAAGGGGAGGA